rnacentral:rRNA from 1 species
GACGAACGCUGGCGGCGUGCUUAACACAUGCAAGUCGAACGGAAAGGCCCUGCUUUUGUGGGGUGCUCGAGUGGCGAACGGGUGAGUAACACGUGAGUAACCUGCCCUUGACUUUGGUAUAACUUCAGGAAACUUGGGCUAAUACCGGAUAGGAGCUCCUGCUGCAUGGUGGGGGUUGGAAAGUUUCGGCGGUUGGGGAUGGACUCGCGGCUUAUCAGCUUGUUGGUGGGGUAGUGGCUUACCAAGGCUUUGACGGGUAGCCGGCCUGAGAGGGUGACCGGCCACAUUGGGACUGAGAUACGGACCAGACUCCUACGGGAGGCAGCAGUGGGGAAUAUUGCACAAUGGGCGGAAGCCUGAUGCAGCAACGCCGCGUGCGGGAUGACGGCCUUCGGGUUGUAAACCGCUUUCGCCUGUGACGAAGCGUGAGUGACGGUAAUGGGUAAAGAAGCACCGGCUAACUACGUG